UACGGAGGGUGCAAGCGUUAUCCGGAUUCACUGGGUUUAAAGGGUGCGUAGGCGGGCAGGUAAGUCCGUGGUGAAAUCUCUGAGGCUUAACUCAAGAAACUGCCAUGGAUAACUAUUUGUCUUGAAUAUUGUGGAGGUAAGCGGAAUAUGUCAUGUAGCGUGAAAUGCUUAGAGUAUGAACAUAGAACACCGAUAGCGGAGGCAGCUUGCUACACAGUCAUUGACACUGAGGCACGGA
rnacentral:rRNA from 1 species